rnacentral:rRNA from 1 species
GUGGGGAAUAUUGGACAAUGGGCGCAAGCCUGAUCCAGCCAUGCCGCGUGAGUGAUGAAGGCCCUAGGGUUGUAAAGCUCUUUCAGUGGGGACGAUAAUGACGGUACCCACAGAAGAAGCCCCGGCUAACUUCGUGCCAGCAGCCGCGGUAAUACGAAGGGGGCUAGCGUUGUUCGGAUUUACUGGGCGUAAAGCGCACGUAGGCGGAUCGUUAAGUCGAGGGUGAAAUCCUGGAGCUCAACUCCAGAACUGCCUUCGAUACUGGCGAUCUUGAGUCCGGAAGAGGUGAGUGGAACUCCUAGUGUAGAGGUGGAAUUCGUAGAUAUUAGGAAGAACACCAGUGGCGAAGGCGGCUCACUGGUCCGGUACUGACGCUGAGGUGCGAAAGCGUGGGGAGCAAACAGGAUUAGAUACCCCGGUAGUCC